rnacentral:rRNA from 1 species
UACAGAGGUCCCGAGCGUUGUUCGGAUUCAUUGGGCGUAAAGGGUGCGUAGGCGGCGGGGAAAGUCUGAUGUGAAAUCCUGGGGCUCAACCCUGGAACUGCAUUGGAUACUUCCUUGCUAGAGUACUGGAGAGGAAACCUGGAAUUUACGGUGUAGCAGUGAAAUGCGUAGAGAUCGUAAGGAAGACCAGUGGCGAAGGCGAGUUUCUGGACAGUUACUGACGCUGAGGCACGAAGGCCAGGGGAGCAAACGGG